AUGGCGAACGGGACCGGAUCUCUGGGUCUCGUCGUCGACGACGGCCUCGGGCAGACCUCGUCCCCGCUCCCCUCCGCCGCGCCCGUCGACGAGGUCCCCGGCGCGACCGCCUUCCCGCUUCCCCCCGCCGCGCCCGUCGACGAGGUCCCCGGCGCGACCGCGUCCCUGCUUAUCUCCGCCGCGCCCGUCGACGAGGUCCCCGGCGCGACCGCGUUCCCGCUUCCCCCCGCCGCGCCCGUCGACGAGGUCCCCGGCGCGACCGCGUCCCUGCUUACCUCCGCCGCGCCCGUCGACGAGGGCCUCGGCGCGACCCCGGCUCCGCUUCGCUCUGCCGCGCCCGCGUCUCCGCUUCGCCCCGCCGCGCCCGCGCCCGCGCCGGGUGUGCCGCCCACACCCGAUGGGAGCGCCGGCCGCCAUGGGCUCCCAGGGUCGCGCACGGACAGCGUGGCGAACGGGGGGGAUUCUGGAUCCCAAGCUCGGGGUGUCGGCGUCUCCAAGGGCCUCGGCGCGACCUCCUCGCCACCUCGCUCGGCCGCGCCCCCGUCGCGUGUGCCCCUCGCGCCCGAUGCGAGCGGCCACGGCGCGGGAGGAGGCGUCCGCGACAUCUGCAAUGAGGUCGUGGAGCGGCUCGUCGCCGGUGGCCGCCUGGACCCGGGGGCGAACGACGUUCUGCUCCGCACCUUGCUCGAGCAGCAUCUCGGCCGGUUUCUUGACAGGACUCAUUCAAGCCAAACAAGAAGACGUGGUAGCAUUAGGAGACUGCAGAAUAUCAAGACGAGGAAACGAUCUGAGAAGCUCAAAGAAGAGAAGAUGAUGGAAUCAUUCAAGGCAAUCUUAUCGGAUUCAAUCUCAUUUCUGUUUCCAACAAUGGUAGCAGUCUUCGCAAGCAACUUCUCUUUCGGAGAAUACGAGAAAUGCUUACUGAUCUUGUUGUGUGCUCUUGGGGGACUCCUCAUUCUGCUUGCAAUGGUGCUGUCCCAUGGGGUUGAUGAUGGACAAGGAAGGACGGUUGUCGUGUCCCAUCUCACGUUGGGGGCUGUUAUAUACGUAUUUGGUAUGCUUGUGUACUGUCUGUACAAGUUCUUUCCUGAAGGGUCUGGCCAGGUCAUGGCCUUGUACGGUGGUGUUGCUCAUUUUGUCUUUGGAGCAGUAGUGCUUACAGUUCUGUGGGCGACUUUGUUCAAGGUUAGUCCGUGA
rnacentral:rRNA from 1 species